UAAGGUUGACCUCGGAUCAG
rnacentral:rRNA from 1 species